UGUGUUAGCCAGGAUGGUCUCGAUCUCCUGACCUCAUGAUCCACCCGCCUCUGCCUCCCAAAGUGCUGGGAUUGCAGGCACGAGCCACCACGCCCCGCUGUGUUUUUCAUUUUUAAAAAAUUGUCUGCCAGAUACAGUAGUAGGUGUAACCUGAACCAUUUGAUGGGGCGUGUUUCCGGAGAGCGGGGGAGAACAUGGGUGUCAGUCCUGGCUCACUCCCUUCGGCCGCCAUCCCUCUGAAAGGGGCCACUAGAUAAAUUUUAAUUGCUUGCCAAAAUCUGGGGCAACUUGCUUCUCGGCCUUCAAAAAUAAGCAGUGAGGCUGGAUGCAGUGGCUCAACUGUAAUCCCAACACUUUGGGUGGCCAAGGUGGGUGGAUCACUUGAGGUCAGGAGUUCGAGACCAGCCUGGCCAACAUGGUGAAACCCUGUCUCUACUACAAAAAUUAGCCGGUCGUGGUGGGACGUGCCUGUAAUCCCAGCUACCUGGGAGGCUGAGGCAGGAGAAUCACUUGCACCCAGGAGGCAAAAGCUGCAGUGAGCAGAGAUCGAUUGCACGUCUGCACUCCAGACUGGGUGACAGAGCAAGACUCCAUUUCAAAAAAUAAAAAUAAGCAGUGAGAUUUCGCCCAGAACCCCAGAGGCCAGGCCCCAGGUCAUUCUGUUGCCUCACUGGCCCACAGAGCCCUUGGGCCCAGCUUCUGCCUCUGGUCCUGAGAUGUCGCCUCUCACCCCCCUGUCUCUGCAGCUGAGACGGGAGAGGCAGAGGCAGAGCGUUUGCCUGCCACUGACAUGAAGGGCUGCUCCAAGGGGAAGGCGUUCUGGAUCUUCAGAACCUCUCUGGGGCAGGACAGCGCCACCCCCCGACCCUAAGUGGAGGCUGCUGCAGUUUUCAAACAUGGAUUUCUUAAAGCAACUUGAAAAACAAAUUCCAUGGUUUUUUUUUGCUUUUUGUUUUUUUUCUUUUACUAUCAGGUAGAAUUUGUGUUUCUGGAAAAGGUACACACAGAUCUUGGGCUUACUUGAAAGCUGGAGGUAACAGCCACCUCUUGCUCUCUGACUCCUUUUUCCCCUGAGAAAGAAGAGAGAAGACAAGUCCAAAUGUCUGUGCUUUGUGGGGGACUUCAAGGGAAUUUGAUCAAGCGUUUCCUGAAACAGGGUCGACCCUCUGGUCUUCAGGUUCCAGCAGCCUCCCCGCUUCCUGCCCUUCUGCCUUCUGUUACACAGUGCCCCCUCCACGCCGCACUCACACUCGCUGCCAGAGUCUCACGGCCGCCCCUCUCCAGGCCUCACUCCCUGGUGCUCCUGAGACCACACCCCUCACAAACUGUACUUGCUCAAGUCACAGGCUGCUGCAGCUUUGUUGUUGUGUCGGAAUCUCUAGGGCAUCUGACACCUUCCGGGACCAUUCUCUCCAGGAGCUCUUCUCUCCGCUCCCCACUGCACUCCUCUCAGGCUUCCUCAUGCUCUCCCCCAGCCCCAGCCUCACCCCUCCUCUAGGGAGCACAGCCGUUUCUUAGCCUCACCCAUCCUGGGUCCCUGGUACCUGCCAGGUAUCUCUGUAGCCCAGAUCUUUCUCUUGCCCCAGACCCCAGCUGCCUAGGGGCAGCCUCACAGCGGCUGCUACAGCAAUCUACCACAUAGUUACCGCCUUAAGCAGCACAAAUUUCUCUUACGGUUCUGGAGGCCAGAGGUCCAAAGUGGCUCUCCCUAGUCUACAGAUCAGGUGUCAGCAGGCUCCUCCUGGAAGACCUAGAUGAGAAUCCAUGUCUUGCCUUUUGCAUCUUCUAGAGGCCGCCUGCAAUCUUUAACUCACGGCCCCUCCCUCCAUCUUCAGGUCCACAGACGAGCAUCUUCCCAUCUGUCUGACUGAUUCUCCUGCUUCUCUCUUACAAAAACUCUUGUGACUGCAUUGGGCUACCUGGAUAACCCAGGAUCCUCUUCCCAUCUCAGCAUCCUUAAUUUAAACACAUCUGCAGAAUUUCUUUGCCAUGUAAGGGAACAUAUUCACAGAUCCCAGGGAUUAGGACAUGGGUACUGCCAGGCAUGCAAGCCACACCUCACAUUCAGCCUCCCUGCAGUCUGAGCCGCGUUCCAUGCCUGACACCACCGUCUAGUCAGUUGCCCAAGCCACAAACCCUCCUUCCUCUCCCCACUGUCACUCUCUUCCGUCAAUUAAAACUGAGCCCUGGGCCAGGUGCAGUGGCUUUCAUCUGUAAUCCCCGCCCUUUGGGAGGCUGAGGGGGGAGGAUCACUUGAACCCAGGAGUUUUAAGGCCAGCCUGGCCAACAUAGGGAAACCUCAUCUCUAAAAAAAAAAAAAA
ensembl:lncRNA